rnacentral:rRNA from 1 species
AGGAAAAGAAACUAACAAGGAUUCCCCUAGUAACUGCGAGUGAAGCGGGAAGAGCUCAAAUUUAAAAUCUGACAGCCUUUGGCUGUCCGAGUUGUAAUCUAGAGAAGUGUUAUCCGCGCUGGACCGUGUACAAGUCUCCUGGAAUGGAACAUCAUAGAGGGUGAGAAUCCCGUCUUUGACACGGACUUCCAGGGCUUUUGUGAUACGCUCUCAAAGAGUCGAGUUGUUUGGGAAUGCAGCUCUAAAUGGGUGGUAAAUUCCAUCUAAAGCUAAAUAUUGGCGAGAGACCGAUAGCGAACAAGUACCGUGAGGGAAAGAUGAAAAGAACUUUGGAAAGAGAGUUAAACAGUACGUGAAAUUGUUGAAAGGGAAACGCUUGAAGUCAGUCGCAUUGACUAGGGAUCAACCUUGCUUUUUUGCUUGGUGUACUUCCUAGUUGAUGGGCCAGCAUCAAUUUUGACCAGUGGAUAAAGGUCAAAGGAAUGUGGCAUCUCUGGAUGUGUUAUAGCCUUUGAUUGUAUACAUUGGUUGGGAUUGAGGAACUCAGCACGCCGCAAGGCCGGGUUUCGACCACGAUCGUGCUUAGGAUGCUGGCAUAAUGGCUUUAAUCGACCCGUCUG